AUUGAACGCUGGCGGCAGGCCUAACACAUGCAAGUCGAACGAGUGGCGGACGGGUGAGUAAUGUCUGGGAAACUGCCUGAUGGAGGGGGAUAACUACUGGAAACGGUAGCUAAUACCGCAUACCAUCAGAUGUGCCCAGAUGGGAUGAGCUUGUUGGUGGGGUAACGGCUCACCAAGGCGACGAUCCCUAGCUGGUCUGAGAGGAUGACCAGCAACAAUGGAACGAAGACACGUUCGAGACCCCUAAGGGAGGCAUCAUGGUGGAAUAUUGCAGAAUGGGCGCAAGUCUGAUGCAGCCAUGCCGCGUGUAUGAAGAAGGCCUUCGGGUUGUAAAGUACUUUCAGCGGAGAGGCGUUACCCGCAGAAGAAGCACCGGCUAACUCCGUGCCAGCAGCCGCGGUAAUU
rnacentral:rRNA from 1 species